rnacentral:rRNA from 1 species
ACGCUCGACACCUACUGGAGGCAGCAGUGGGGGAAUAUUGCACAAUGGGGGAAACCCUGAUGCAGCGACGCCGCGUGAGCGAAGAAGUAUCUCGGUAUGUAAAGCUCUAUCAGCAGGGAAGAAGAUGACGGUACCUGACUAAGAAGCACCGGCUAAAUACGUACCAGCAGCCGCGGUAAUCUGAGCGGGCUGGCAAGGC